rnacentral:rRNA from 1 species
GACAGAGGUGCCGAGCGUUAGGCGGAAUCACUGGGCUUAAAGCGUGUGUAGGCGGCCCGUUAAGUGUCUUGUGAAAUCCCCCGGCUCAACCGGGGAACUGCUGGGCAUACUGGCGGGCUUGGGUCGCUCAGGGGCAGACGGAACAGGCGGUGGAGCGGUGAAAUGCGUAGAUAUCAGGAGGAACACCGGUGGCGAAGGCGGGUCUCUGGGCCGUAACUGACGCUGAGGAGCGAAAGCAUGGGGAGCGAACGGG